UUCAUCGCCAAUCGCCUUGAGUUGAUCAUGGCUCAGAACGAACGUUGGCGGCGUGGAUUAGGCAUGCAAGUCGGGGGAAUCUCCCGCAAGGGAGGGAACCGGCGUAAGGGGCAGUAAUGUGUGGGUACCUACCGCGGGGUUCGGGAUAGCCAUCAGAGAUGGUGGGUAAUACCGGAUGACGUCGUGAGACCAAAGAUUUAUCGCCCUGUGAGGGGCCCACAUGAUAUUAGCUAGUUGGUGAGGUAAUGGCUCACCAAGGCUAAGAUGUCUAGCGGGUGUGAGAGCACGACCCGCGCCACUCGCACUGAGACACUGGCGAGACACCUACGGGUGGCUGCAGUCGAGGAUCUUCGGCAAUGAGCGCAAGCUUGACCGAGCGACGCCGCGUGAGCGAUGAAGGCCUUCGGGUUGUAAAGCUCUUUAGUGGGGGAGAAAAGCCCGCAAGGGUGUGAUCUAUCCCAAAAAUAAGCACGGGCUAAGUUCGUGCCAGCAGCCGCGGUAAGACGAACCGUGCGAACGUUGUUCGGAAUCACUGGGCUUAAAGGGCGCGUAGGCGGGCUGUCCAGUCUGGGGUGAAAUCCCGCGGCUCAACCGUGGAACUGCCUCAGAUACUGACGGCCUCGAGGGAGAUAGGGGCAUGCGGAACUGUAGGUGGAGCGGUGAAAUGCGUUGAUAUCUACAGGAACUCCGGUGGCGAAGGCGGCGUGCUGGAUCUCUUCUGACGCUGAGGCGCGAAAGCUAGGGGAGCAAACGGGAUUAGAUACCCCGGUAGUCCUAA
rnacentral:rRNA from 1 species